CUACAAUUCUCAAAAGCUUCACACACUUUUGAUCAAGACAGUGUGAAGCAAAACCAAUUUAUGGUGGAAAUCAAAAGCUUCAUCAAUGGAGGACAACUACAAUUCUCAAAAGCUUCACACACUCUUGAUCAAGACAAUGUGAAUCAAAACCAAUUUAUGGUGCCAACAAGAGCUUCAUCAAUGGAAGGCAAUCACAAUUAUCAAAAGCUUCACACACU
rnacentral:lncRNA from 1 species